AAGUAAAUCCAGCGGAUUCUGAAGCGGAGAAAAUUAACCUUAUACUUACACUUUAUAAUAGCAAAGUGUUUAGGCGAUUAAUGUAAGCCAGCUGAGUCUGUCGUGGAGAAAAGUGGCUGUGCACCGUUAUGGAACACUUUAUGUUAGUGAUAUUUUGCACAGCCGAAAUAAAAAUAAAAAGCUGCUUUUCUCCACGUCAGAAUCAGCUGAUUCAUGUUUACGAGAGUUACGAUAUGUCAAAGAGUGUGUGUUAUUUAGGUGCUGCUGGCAACAUCUCUGGUGUUAAAGGGAUAAAAUAGCUAAAGCUUAACACGUUUGACAUCUUUUCAGAGGAAUUUUCAAAAAGCAACACCGAAAAGAAGUUAAAUUUCCAUCAUCUCCAGUGCCUCAUUUUGGUGAAUGAAGGCUAAAGUCAGGCGCCUGUUUUGAAUGUGGAUGACCUUUGCCCCCCUGAAGCAGCCAAGAAACCGUCACACUGCGGUGAUCGCACUUGUUUUAGUCAGACAUAUUUUGAAAAAAGCAGUCAAUGUUUACCUGCUUCUUCACCGCCUUCAGCUGGAUCGAACAGGUCUAAAACCUGCAAAGUUUAUUGGACGUGAACCUACAGGAGAUGGUCAAAACACCAACGUUUAUCAAUGAUUAGGUAUAAUUUAUGAAUGACUAGCAGCGGAUUAUUUAAAGCCACUGAGGCCCUGAACCAGAACAGUUAGAUAACUUUAUCUUCCAGCCAGGCAUACUCCAAACACCUGGCUUUACAGUUUUGCUAAAAAACCCUUCAUCAUCCCUGCACUGAGCCGACAUGGGAACCAAUUAUUAGGAAGCAUCCUCAUGGAGUCACUGCACAACUUCUUACUUCUUACUUUUUUUUUCCAAAGUGAAAUUGAUGGUAGACCACGAUAGAUGCAGUUUCUGCAGACACCUAAGACUAGAAGAAGGGGCAAAAACACUGUUAAACUUUUGGAAGGGUUAAAGUCAUUCACUUCAAAGGGGGUAAACCAGUUUGAAUGCUUUUAACUUUUUCUAGUCAUAAUGGAACCAACACUUGGAAUCUUGCUUCCUUUUUGGAUUGGUCUAAAGUAAUGCAAGCUCUGUGAAUCUGACAUAAAUGUUCAUGAUGUAACCUAUAAGAUGAACAGUUAACAUCCACCAAUUGUUGAAUAUUUGUUUUGUAAAGUACCAAAAAUAUUAUUGCUGCUUUGUCAUUUUUUUAAGUAUUUUUUUGUCCUAACUGAGAACAAAAUCCAUCCGUCUUCCAAAGUCACUUCAUUCCUUUUGGGGUCACAAGGCUGCUGGAGCCAACCAACCCACUGUUGGGCAAAAGUGUGAUAUGCCCCGAAAAGAUCGCUAGUCUGUUGCAGGGCCACACAGGCACCCAUAUUCACAUUCACACCCAAUUCAGCAAUGAAGCAUGUUUUUAUUUUUGGACUGUGGGAGGUAUCCAGAAUUCUCUGAAAAGGCCCCUAAGGAAAAUAUGCAAACUCCAUACAGAAAGGUCCCAGCCAGGAUCUCAACCGGGGUCUUCUCACUGUGAGGAAAGCUCUAACCACUGCGCCACCGUGCUACACGCAUGCCAAAUCAUAAAAGGCAACAGUUGGAGAAGGACUAUGGCAUCCGGAACCACUGACCAUGAAAGGCAUCCAAAAACGUCUAAUUCCUAAACCUUAGAGGAUCCAGACCCUUUUACAUUUAUUUUAAUUCUUAGGCCACUGCUAGUUACUUACAAACUAAUAAAUAUAAGAUUAACAGAAUUUGUCAGACCUUAAAGGCCUUAAACAAAGAUUACUGAGAGAGCAGACUCCAUCAAAAAGGGUAUAAGCCAAAUAUAGCACAGCAGACUUGUUAAAUCCCUCUCAAACACAUAAAGGUCUGUAAGUCAUACAUAACACUUGAACAAAGAGUAAUUAUCCACUGGCCAAACAAUUGAACGUUUUGACAAUUUGAUGAACUGACCGCAGCACCUGUUUAAUGCAUUUUCAGGUGUUUAAGAGUGUGGACGUGAGCGGAGCUCACAUCAAGCGUGUUAGUGGCAGAUGAACUACAUAUCCGUUCACUGGGAAGCGCAAAGCCUGACGUUUGCCCGCUUUGAUACAGAUUCACGACAGAGCAAUCAAGCCUUAUCUGUUUCCUUUUUCUCCAUCAAGUUCCUGUAGCCGCCAACAGAUGUUGCGUACAUUUGUGUAUUUAGAGAUGUGAACUAUUGUUGUUGUCAUUCUCUCAUGGUGAAAACAAACAUUUUUCUAGGCACAAUUUUAUGUCCCCAUUACCUAUUUCAUGCAAAAAGAUCGCCUCAUCCUAGACAACAAGAGUGUUUAUUUGGUAAAAGUGUGAGACACUUGGAGCACUCAUCAUAAACUGAUCAGGUGUGCGGUUAAAUGAGCAGAAGCUAAUUAUUGAGUGCUUCUGUCAUGGUUUCAUGGUGCAGCCGUGUCCUUAAUCAGCCUCAUCCUCUUCACCUGGACUGAGCUGCGUUUAAUCCACACCUCAACGUGUACUACCCUGACAGUCAGUCAUUGUCUGUCAUCACAUCACAGGACAACAUUUAGCUCAUGAUCUUGCAUGUUUCAGACCCAAAACCUGCUGCAGCCAAGCAAAAGCGUCAGGAUUUUAAGUCAUCUUAUUUAACUUCUUCCUGAGUUUGCUCUUAUCUUGGUUCCACAUCCAUGGAACCCAACAGAUAAAGCAAUAAAACUCAGCAUGGAGGGUAUGGUGCCCCCCACACACUCUGAAAAGGUGAGGGCACUUGGAAAUCAACGGAGAUGAAAGAUCUGCAGCUCUGGAGAGGGACUCUUUCUCCUGGGCUUCCUGCCAGGUCCAGAUUCGUUGCUGCAGCGCUGUGGUUUUUCCGCUCUGCAGCAUUUGGUCGUCUGUUUGGGCUUCAGUUUGUUCUGCUUCAAUUGCAAACAUACAUGUAAAUUCCCAGACACUCAUGCAACAGCAUAGCUUCAUGCUUUCUAUUUUGGUUGUUGAAUAUUCCCAUAUAUAUUAAAACUACUAAAGUACUAAAACUGGCUUCCCCUCCCCUCUUAUUUGUUACAAUGCAGAGCCGAGCGUAAAAAUGCCAGGUCAUCAUCUUCCUCAGAUUAAUGUAGUUCACGGUCUAAGUAUUCAGAACUGACCUAAAGCAUAAAACCCCUAUUUCUUAAAUUUUUUGCUUUUUUUUUUCAUUCUGGGAUGACAUUUUGAGGAAGAUCUAAAUUGUACUAAGCAACAAUAGAGCAGGACAUUCUGUUAAACCAUAGCAAGAUAAAGAAGUAAGAUGAGUGAUAAACAGAGGAUGCAGCUCAGCUGACUGUAAUAACAAGCAGUAAGUAAAAUUUCAAAUGUUUUUUGAUUAAAAGGAUUGAUGCAUUUGUUCUUACUUUUCGUGAUUAAAACACUUUACAGGACUUUGUCAAAUUGAACUGGCAUUGAUUCUGCAGGUUGCAUGUGAGUGUGUGUGGCCCUGCAACAGACUGGCAACCUGUUCAGGGUGUAUUCCACCUUUGCCCAACAGUAGCUCCAGCAGCCCCAUAACAUCUAAAGGGAAUCAGAGGUUUCUGAAGAUGAUGGAUGCAUGGAUGCAUGCAUGGAUGGAUGGAUGGAUGGAUGAAUGGAUGGAGGUGGCUUUGGUCAGGUUCAUAGUAAUGUAGUCUUUUAAGAUGUUUUCCAACAAUUGUUUAUUUGGAUGAAAAGCCACUGAUUUGACAUCUUUUAGAUUUCAGAUUAAAGAACUUGAACUGUUUGAAAACCAAGUUGACAUGCAACUUUUUUCUGACAUUUGAGAUGAAUCUAUAGAAGAAUAAACUGUAUUUUUCUUCCUGAUUACUUUGUGGGACAUCCUAAAGUUUUUAUUUCUUUUGUGUAUAUUAAAAUACUUUCUUACUGUAA